rnacentral:rRNA from 1 species
CCUACGGGUGGCAGCAGUGGGGAAUAUUGCACAAUGGGGGAAACCCUGAUGCAGCGACGCCGCGUGAAGGAAGAAGUAUUUCGGUAUGUAAACUUCUAUCAGCAGGGAAGAAAACGACGGUACCUGACUAAGAAGCCCCGGCUAACUACGUGCCAGCAGCCGCGGUAAUACGUAGGGGGCAAGCGUUAUCCGGAUUUACUGGGUGUAAAGGGAGCGUAGGCGGCGCUGCAAGUCAGAAGUGAAAGCCCGGGGCUCAACUCCGGGACUGCGUUUGAAACUGUAUGGAUAGAUUGCAGGAGAGGCAAGUGGAAGUCCGAGUGUAGCGGUGAAAUGCGGAGAUAUUAGGAGGAACACCAGUGGCGAAGGCGGCUUGCUGGACUGUAAAUGACGCUGAGGCUCGAAAGCGUGGGGAGCAAACAGGAUUAGAUACCCGGGUAGUC